rnacentral:rRNA from 1 species
AGUGAACGCUGGCGGUAGGCCUAACACAUGCAAGUCGAACGGCAGCACAGUAAGAGCUUGCUCUUACGGGUGGCGAGUGGCGGACGGGUGAGGAAUACAUCGGAAUCUACUUUUUCGUGGGGGAUAACGUAGGGAAACUUACGCUAAUACCGCAUACGACCUACGGGUGAAGGCAGGGGAUCUUCGGACCUUGCGCGAUUGAAUGAGCCGAUGUCGGAUUAGCUAGUUGGCGGGGUAAAGGCCCACCAAGGCGACGAUCCGUAGCUGGUCUGAGAGGAUGAUCAGCCACACUGGAACUGAGACACGGUCCAGACUCCUACGGGAGGCAGCAGUGGGGAAUAUUGGACAAAGGGCGCAAGCCUGAUCCAGCCAUACCGCGUGGGUGAAGAAGGCCUUCGGGUUGUAAAGCCCCUUUGUUGGGAAAGAAAAGCAGCAGGUUAAUACCCCGCUGUUCUGACGGUACCCAAAGAAUAAGCACCGGCUAACUUCGUG